rnacentral:rRNA from 1 species
UCUCUUAAUUGGUGACUUGUAUGAAAGAUUGGAUGAAAUAUAUACUGUCUCUAAUUAAUUUAUAAAAUUUAAUUUUUUAGUAAAAAAGCUAAAAUAAGUUUAAAAGACGAGAAGACCCUAUAGAGUUUAAUAAUUUAUUUAAUUAUUAUUAAUAUUUAAAUUUUAAAAUUAAAAUUAAAUAAAUUAUUUUGUUGGGGUGAUAGAAAAAUUAAAUUAACUUUUUUUUAUUUUUAAACAUUAAUUUAUGAAUAGAUGAUCCAUUAAUAAUGAUUAAAAGAAAAAAUUACCUUAGGGAUAACAGCGUAAUUUUUUUUUUUAGUUCAAAUAGGAAAAAAAGUUUGCCACCUCGAUGUUGGAUUAAGAUAAAAUUUAAAUGCAAAAGUUUAAAAUUUUGAUCUGUUCGAUCAUUAAAAUCUUA